rnacentral:ncRNA from 1 species
ACAGUACAAACUGAGCAGGCGAUGGAUUUCAUGAAUGUUUAGAUGAUUGAAAUUUGUGGGGCCGGGUCACAAACCGUGGCAGCAGAUGAUGAUACAGCAUCUGUGGGACAGUA